GUCAACUAUCCCACAUUCACCUUAGGGAGAGAACGCGGCUGGCGGGAAACCGAAAGUCUUGUUGACCCGCUUAAGUUCCUAACCACUGGAACUAAGGUAUUGGGGUCAUGACACCCACAAAUGUGUACCCGUUUGCAAUUCUAUC
rnacentral:sRNA from 21 species